rnacentral:tRNA from 1 species
UUGGUCAAACGGUAUGACCCCAGCCUUCCAAGCUGGUAGCCCGGGUUCGACUCCCGGA